rnacentral:rRNA from 1 species
GACGAACGCUGGCGGCGUGCCUAAUACAUGCAAGUAGAACGCUGAAGGAGGAGCUUGCUUCUCCGGAUGAGUUGCGAACGGGUGAGUAACGCGUAGGUAACCUGCCUGGUAGCGGGGGAUAACUAUUGGAAACGAUAGCUAAUACCGCAUAACAGUAGAUAUUGCAUGAUAUCUGCUUGAAAGGUGCAAUUGCAUCACUACCAGAUGGACCUGCGUUGUAUUAGCUAGUUGGUGAGGUAACGGCUCACCAAGGCAACGAUACAUAGCCGACCUGAGAGGGUGAUCGGCCACACUGGGACUGAGACACGGCCCAGACUCCUACGGGAGCAGCAGUAGGGAUCUUCGGCAAUGGACGGAAGUCUGACCGAGCAACGCCGCGUGAGUGAAGAAGGUUUUCGGAUCGUAAAGCUCUGUUGUAAGAGAAGAACGAGUGUGAGAGUGGAAAGUUCACACUGUGACGGUAUC